rnacentral:rRNA from 1 species
GACGAACGCUGGCGGCGUGCUUAACACAUGCAAGUCGAACGAUGAACCCGGAGCUUGCUCCGGUGGAUUAGUGGCGAACGGGUGAGUAACACGUGAGUAACCUGCCCUUGACUCUGGGAUAACUGCGGGAAACUGUAGCUAAUACCGGAUACGACCCUCGGCGGCAUCGCCAGGGGGUGGAAAGAAUUUCGGUCAAGGAUGGACUCGCGGCCUAUCAGCUAGUUGGUGAGGUAACGGCUCACCAAGGCGACGACGGGUAGCCGGCCUGAGAGGGUGACCGGCCACGCUGGGACUGAGACACGGCCCAGACUCCUACGGGAGGAAGAAGUGGGGAAUAUUGCACAAUGGGCGCAAGCCUGAUGCAGCAACGCCGCGUGAGGGAUGACGGCCUUCGGGUUGUAAACCUCUUUUAGUAGGGAAGAAGCGAAAGUGACGGUACCUGCAGAAAAAGCACCGGCUAACUACGUGCCAGCCGCCGCCGUAA